AAGGAGUCUAACAUCUAUGCGAGUGUUCGGGUGUCAAACCCCUACGCGUAAUGAAAGUGAGCGGAGGUGGGAACCGCAAGGUGCACCAUCGACCGAUCCUGAUGUCUUCGGAUGGAUUUGAGUAAGAGCAUAGCUGUUGGGACCCGAAAGAUGGUGAACUAUGCCUGAAUAGGGUGAAGCCAGAGGAAACUCUGGUGGAGGCUCGCAGCGGUUCUGACGUGCAAAUCGAUCGUCAAAUUUGGGUAUAGGGGCGAAAGACUAAUCGAACCAUCUAGUAGUUGGUUCCUGC
rnacentral:misc_RNA from 1 species